rnacentral:rRNA from 1 species
UGCCAGCCGCCGCGGUAAUACGGAGGGUGCAAGCGUUAAUCGGAAUCACUGGGCGUAAAGGGCGCGUAGGCGGUUCAGUAAGUCGGGUGUGAAAGCCCCGGGCUCAACCCGGGAAUUGCAUUCGAUACUGCUGAACUAGAGUGUGGUAGAGGGAAGCGGAAUUCCGGGUGUAGCGGUGAAAUGCGUAGAUAUCCGGAGGAACACCAGUGGCGAAGGCGGCUUCCUGGACCAACACUGACGCUGAGGCGCGAAAGCGUGGGGAGCAAACAGGAUUAGAUA